AGAGUUUGAUCCUGGCUCAGAUUGAACGCUGGCGGCAUGCCUUACACAUGCAAGUCGAACGGCAGCACGGGGGCAACCCUGGUGGCGAGUGGCGAACGGGUGAGUAAUACAUCGGAACGUGUCCUGUAGUGGGGGAUAGCCCGGCGAAAGCCGGAUUAAUACCGCAUACGAUCUACGGAAGAAAGCGGGGGAUCCUUCGGGACCUCGCGCUAUAGGGGCGGCCGAUGGCAGAUUAGCUAGUUGGUGGGGUAAAGGCCUACCAAGGCGACGAUCUGUAGCUGGUCUGAGAGGACGACCAGCCACACUGGGACUGAGACACGGCCCAGACUCCUACGGGAGGCAGCAGUGGGGAAUUUUGGACAAUGGGCGCAAGCCUGAUCCAGCAAUGCCGCGUGAGUGAAGAAGGCCUUCGGGUUGUAAAGCUCUUUUGUCAGGGAAGAAACGGUCUUGGUUAAUACCUGGGGCUAAUGACGGUACCUGAAGAAUAAGCACCGGCUAACUACGUGCCAGCAGCCGCGGUAAUACGUAGGGUGCAAGCGUUAAUCGGAAAUUACUGGGCGUAAAGCGUGCGCAGGCGGUUGUGUAAGACAGGUGUGAAAUCCCCGGGCUUAACCUGGGAAUGGCAUUUGUGACUGCACGGCUAGAGUGUGUCAGAGGGGGGUAGAAUUCCACGUGUAGCAGUGAAAUGCGUAGAGAUGUGGAGGAAUACCGAUGGCGAAGGCAGCCCCCUGGGAUAACACUGACGCUCAUGCACGAAAGCGUGGGGAGCAAACAGGAUUAGAUACCCUGGUAGUCCACGCCCUAAACGAUGUCUACUAGUUGUCGGGUCUUAAUUGACUUGGUAACGCAGCUAACGCGUGAAGUAGACCGCCUGGGGAGUACGGUCGCAAGAUUAAAACUCAAAGGAAUUGACGGGGACCCGCACAAGCGGUGGAUGAUGUGGAUUAAUUCGAUGCAACGCGAAAAACCUUACCUACCCUUGACAUGGCUGGAAUCCUUGAGAGAUCAGGGAGUGCUUGAAAGAGAACCAGUACACAGGUGCUGCAUGGCUGUCGUCAGCUCGUG
rnacentral:rRNA from 1 species